rnacentral:rRNA from 1 species
UAGGGAAUCUUCCGCAAUGGGCGAAAGCUUGACGGAGCAACGCCGCGUGAGUGAUGAAGGUCUUCGGAUCGUAAAACUCUGUUAUUAGGGAAGAACAAAUGUGUAAGUAACUAUGCACGUCUUGACGGUACCUAAUCAGAAAGCCACGGCUAACUACGUGCCAGCAGCCGCGGUAAUACGUAGGUGGCAAGCGUUAUCCGGAAUUAUUGGGCGUAAAGCGCGCGUAGGCGGUUUUUUAAGUCUGAUGUGAAAGCCCACGGCUCAACCGUGGAGGGUCAUUGGAAACUGGAAAACUUGAGUGCAGAAGAGGAAAGGGGAAUUCCAGGUGUAGCGGUGAAAUGCGCAGAGAUAUGGAGGAACACCAGUGGCGAAGGCGACUUUCUGGUCUGUAACUGACGCUGAUGUGCGAAGGCGUGGGGAUCAAACAGG